rnacentral:lncRNA from 1 species
ACUACAAGGGUUGAACUUGUACAUUUUAAUUAAAGUUUGGUUAAGUAGUGGAAGAUCACAAACAUCAGACAUAAGUCUGAUGUUGGUGUCGAUGCAAGCCAAGGGCCAAGAAGGGUUUCUCAUGAUGAUGAAAUGUUGAAGAAUUGAAGCAAAAUCCAGCCUUAAUUCUCUUGCAUGUGUAGAGAUUCUACAUCAAAAAGCUAUAUGAAACAUGUGGAACGUGUCAAGGAGAGCUCAAGCAUAGGAGGAUAACGGGUCAAGAU